rnacentral:lncRNA from 1 species
GACCUAAAUCCGGCCUAAAACCCCAAAAAUGGUUUUGGGCUCGGCUUAAGCAGGGUGUAGCACAGCCCGGCCCACUUCCAGCCCUAAUCGGUGGUUGAUCCCCUAUUUCUCCAAACUCAAACAAGCUGGUUCUAACUUUGUCUUCUCCAUCCCAAGGGAGCAAGCAAAAUCAGGAGCUGCUUGCCAGAAUUGCCAUAUUUCAAGUGCAAAUGGUUCACCUUUCCGACUACUGGAUGAGCUCUGCAUAUCUUGGUUCCUGGGGGAUGCCAAUGCAGACAACGAGGUCAGACAGGACAUACUCGAAUAGCUAAAUUAAGCCAC